GGCGUCAUUGGCAUCCUCUAACUUUGGAAUACCUAGAAAUUAACACAAAUAUAUUUUUUUUAUCAUCAUAUUUGAAGAGUUUCGAAUCUUGAAGCCCUUUAUUUGCAUCUACCUUGGAGUUUACGUUGUUUGGUUUUAGGUCCAAGUUUCUGCAGCUGAGUAUCAGCUUUAAACUUUGCCCAAGAUAACACUGCCUCAACGAUACCAAUCUUUGUGACCUGUAAUUUCAUCGCCAAAAUUUAUGAUUCCAAUUUAUUCAUUUCGGUAUCCAUGAGCUGUUUCACAAUGGCAUCGGUGACAUGAUCCACAUGUCGACCUCCCUGUUAAUACAACGACUUUUUGUAUUCAUUCGAAGCGGUUUCAACGGUGAAUCGGUGACUGAAAAUAUUGCACAAUUUGGCACCAUAGCCGUUCCUACCUCCGGUCACCUUCUCUUCUUUGUCAUCAUAGUUUGAGGAUGUCAGAAGGUGUCCAAAGAUCAUUGUAGGUACAAACAUUUUUUCCUCUUUAUGAAUUACCACUGGAAUUCCCUGGCCAUUGUUCCAUACUGAUAUCGUGUUGUUGUCA
rnacentral:misc_RNA from 1 species